rnacentral:rRNA from 1 species
ACGAACGCUGGCGGCGUGCUUAACACAUGCAAGUCGCACGGAAAGGCCCUGCUUUUGUGGGGUGCUCGAGUGGCGAACGGGUGAGUAACACGUGAGUAACCUGCCCCUGACUUUGGGAUAACUUCAGGAAACUGGGGCUAAUACCGGAUAGGAGCUCCUGCUGCAUGGUGGGGGUUGGAAAGUUUCGGCGGUUGGGGAUGGACUCGCGGCUUAUCAGCUUGUUGGUGGGGUAGUGGCUUACCAAGGCUUUGACGGGUAGCCGGCCUGAGAGGGUGACCGGCCACAUUGGGACUGAGAUACGGCCCAGACUCCUACGGGAGGCAGCAGUGGGGAAUAUUGCACAAUGGGCGGAAGCCUGAUGCAGCAACGCCGCGUGCGGGAUGACGGCCUUCGGGUUGUAAACCGCUUUCGCCUGUGACGAAGCGUGAGUGACGGUAAUGGGUAAAGAAGCACCGGCUAACUACGUG